rnacentral:rRNA from 1 species
UGGGGAUGCGUUCCAUUAGUUUGUUGGCGGGGUAACGGCCCACCAAGACAUCGAUGGAUAGGGGUUCUGAGAGGAAGGUCCCCCACAUUGGAACUGAGACACGGUCCAAACUCCUACGGGAGGCAGCAGUGAGGAAUAUUGGUCAAUGGACGAGAGUCUGAACCAGCCAAGUAGCGUGAAGGAUGACUGCCCUAUGGGUUGUAAACUUCUUUUAUAUGGGAAUAAAGUGAGCCACGUGUGGCUUUUUGUAUGUACCAUACGAAUAAGGAUCGGCUAACUCCGUGCCAGCAGCCGCGGUAAUACGGAGGAUCCGAGCGUUAUCCGGAUUUAUUGGGUUUAAAGGGAGCGUAGGCGGACUAUUAAGUCAGCUGUGAAAGUUUGCGGCUCAACCGUAAAAUUGCAGUUGAUACUGGUCGUCUUGAGUGCAGUAGAGGUAGGCGGAAUUCGUGGUGUAGCGGUGAAAUGCUUAGAUAUCACGAAGAACUCCGAUUGCGAAGGCAGCUUACUGGACUGUAACUGACGCUGAUGCUCGAAAGUGUGGGUAUCAAACAGGAUUAGAUACCCUGGUAGUCCACACAGUAAACGAUGAAUACUCGCUGUUUGCGAUAUACGGCAAGCGGCCAAGCGAAAGCAUUAAGUAUUCCACCUGGGGAGUAC